rnacentral:rRNA from 1 species
AUGGCUAGGCCGGCGUGGUGGUGCGCCUCCGCGCCAUCCAUUCACCAGCACCACCAUCGCCUCCUGCCACCACUCCACCACGCACCACCAGCACCACCAUCCAUCGUCCACACGCCUCCACCAGCGCCGCCACCAUCGCCCACCUCGCGCACCCCUCCUUCUUCCUCUCGACCUCCUGCUGCUGCCUUCUCUUCUUCCACGCAACCUGCUGCUGCUCCUUCUUCCUAUGCGCCCCUGCUGCUCUUCUUGCUGAAGCCCUUUCCCUUCACCACGCUGAUGUUCCUUCUUCUUCCCCUUGCUGCUACUAUUUCUCUUCUUCCCUCGCCUCUAGCUGCUGCUCCUAGUUCUUCCCCACGCCUCUCCGUUGCAUCUCCCUGCUGCUAUCAUUCUCCAAGCUCGCCCCUCUCUGAAUCCCUACUGCUGCUGCUCUUCUACUUUCUCCUACCACGCUGCUGUUCUGCUCUUUCUCCAUCUCCCAACUCCAAGUCAUUGCUGCUACUCCAUCUUCCUUUGCCCCGCUGCUCCUCCUCCCUCUUCUCAACACCCCCCUGCUGCUGCUUCUUCUCUCUCAACCUCCUGCUGUUGCCUUCUCUCUCUCUCUCUCUCUCUCUCUCUCUCUGA